AUAGCUGCUGUGGAGCAGGCGUGGCUGCAGAUGCAGAGAUCACCACUCAGAUCAUGUCCUCCAAUGUUGAACUGCACAUGCUCAACACCGGAAGACCUCCGCUGGUCGCCAUGGUUACCAGGAAGCUGAAACAGAUGCUGUUCAGGUAAAAAUAAAUAACCUGCAGGCCUUCACUAUGGUCUUCUUUAUGAUCACACUGUUACCUGCAGACUCAAACAAACAAACUCUGAUCUGGAUAGGCAGGAAUUUUUCUGUCAGAUGUUUACUCUCUCUAUUACUGCCAUCAGAUCAUUCCAUCACAUGAAGUCAUUUAUCACACAGACCCACUGAAAGUUUCUGUACUAGAAGCUAAACUUAACAUGUAUUUAACUUAAUCCUGAUUUUAAACUUAACCUUAGAGUUUUUAAGUCCUCCUCUGUCAGCCAAUAAAAACAGGCUAUUCUUGUGUAUCCAGGUAUCAGGGUCACAUCGGCUCAUCUCCAAUUGUUGGAGGUGUGGAUGUGACUAGAACUCACUUGUACAGCGUUUAUCCUCACGGCUCCUAUGACAAGCUGCCCUUCCUCACCAUGGGAACAAAAUUAACUUUAUCAUGAUUUUUAUCACUGUUUCAAACACUUCUGUCUUUACUGUCUCUACACUGAGAGCAGGGUUAUAGGGUUAUGCUACUUAGAAUUUAGUUCUGUAGACUGAUUAAUCCAUCAGCAGAUAAACUGGCCCAUUAAUGGCACUCAGGUGACACAGUCAAACACUCUGAGCCUCAGGUCACAACUGCUGGAAAUCAGCUGAGCCAAAGCUCUGCCUGGAUCACCUGUAAGGGUCAGUGUGGAGACCUUUAGUUGAAGCAGACAUUUGACUGUUUUAUAUCAAAAGCCAUGGUAUUGCAGGAUAGUGCAGGUGGGAAAGAAACAUCAGAGCACAGCUUCUGUUUAUUUAAAAACUGUAUUCAAGUCUUCUUUUGGUUGGUUCUUUGUUUUGGUUGUCAUACACAGGCAAGUUCAGGUCUGAACACUAAAUACUUUCACACACCACAGAACUGAGGCACAUAAACUUCAGGAUUCAUCAGGACAGACCUGAUGUCUGCAUGCUGGACAUGACUGUACAAAGAAAUCUGAUGUUUUAUGAUACUGUGCCUCAAACACCCCCCCCCCCCCGUUUCUUCCUCCUCCUCUGCCUCUUCCUCUCUCAGCUGGAGGAGGCGAAGCUGCUGGUUCGAGACGCCAUCACUGCAGGUAUUUUCUGUGACUUGGGCUCAGGCAGAAACGUGGACCUGUGUGUGGUCACUGAGGGUGGAGUGCAGUACCUGAGAAGCUACGACUAACCCACCACCAAGGGGAAAAGGUUAGACCUUACACGGAGUCAGUCCACUCUUCUUAAAAAUCUGUGAACAAAUCACAGCAGACAAACAAAAAAAUUGUAAGAAACGUGUUCUGUGGUCGCAGCUUUGACAGAUUACACCAUUUAUAUUUUAUAUAAAACACUUAUUUAUCCUCCUCUGUGUGAGAGAGCUUAUUCCAUUAAAACCUUCAAAUCUAUGGGAUCCGGCCCUCUCUUUUUAUGAGCAGUCACUGGUUUUAAGUAGAUUUCACCUAAAGUCUUUUUAUCUUUAUGGUCUUUUACUUGCGCCUGAACGAUAUUACUUUUUCAGUGGCCACUGCUGAUACCAAUAACAAAACGCCUGUCUAAAUAACAGAUGUUACUACACUGCUGUUUUUUUCUGCAUUUGAUGAAAUACAACAAUUUAACAACACUAUCAAAUGAGAAAAAACAAACCUGAGUAUUUAUACUAUGAUAUAAAUUUUGAGGACGAAAUAUUUGGCUCAGUUAAAUUUUGCCAUGAGGGAAAUUGGAGUUUCCGACCAGCUAGCCAAAAUUAUUGAAUAGAAUAGAAUAGAAUGCUCUUUAUUGUCAUUAUACAAACAUUGUACAACGAGACUGGAGAGGGUCUCCCAUUCAGUGCAAGUAAAAGGUAAAAGUAAAGGUUUAAAAUAUAAAAUAUAAAUAUAUAUACAAAUAAGAUGCAAUAGAGUGUUGACACAUUGUUGUUAAAUAGAUUGCAUAGGUGCAAUGGAUUCCACACAGUGGACAGUAGCAGCAAUGGUAAAAAACUUAUUGCACAGUAGGUAUGGCUAUAUAUACAGUAUAUGUAAAGAUAAAUACAGUAGUGUUGGCAUGUUAAUACUGAAUAUUAAAUAGAUUGCACAGAGUGUGAUGGAUUCCACACAGUGGAGCAGUAGCAGCAGUGGUAAAAAAAAACUUAUUGCACAGUAGGUAUGGAUAUAUAUAAAAAUAAUACAACAGUGUUACGUGCUGGAGUUCAGGGCGGUGAUGGCUAUGGGGGGAAAGCUAUUUCUCAGUCAUUUCAAGCCUGGUAACACACUAAGGCAGAAGCUAGUCCAUCCCAAGGACAAAACACCGAGACAUAAACAGAGUAAUGUGGUGUAUGCUGUCCAGUGCAGCAAGGAAUGCUUGGAUCUGUACAUUGGGGAAACUAAACAACCGCUUCACAAGCGCAUGGCUCAACACAGGAGAGCCACUUCCUCAGGUCAGGACUCAGCUGUCCACUUUCACUUAAAGGACACGGGUCACUCUUUCGAGGACAGCAAGGUACAGGUGUUGGCUCGAGAAGACAGAUGGGCUGUGUCCAAAAUGGCAUACUGCCUACUAUCUACUUACCUACUCAAGCAGUAGCUACUGCCUACUGACUACUCAAAGAUGAUUUGAGUAUGCCGCGGCUGCCCGAGCGUUUAUACACAUACAUACUAAAUACCCCAGAAUGCAUUUCGUGCCGGCCGGAAGCAGCGGCGGGAAAAUUUAAAUAGUCCUACCGCACGCUUCAAAAACGACUGCAUACCGGACAGACUGUAUAAAUUCAAUCAGAGAAAGUAAGUGUUUACAUCACGAUUAUGAGCCCAGUUGUUUGAAAAGCGGCUGUUUGUAAAUUUGUCUCUGCGUUUUCGGAGACCGAAACGUCUGCUUGGUGGGUGUUUGCGUCUACAUGCCGUAAAUACUGGGCAGCAGCAGCUCCCCCUUCACGUUUCCAAAUUAUUGCGAAGUGUUUUCAUAAUCAACAGCGACGCGACUCAAACUAAGCGGCAGUGGAUUCAUAAAAAUUACACAAACAUCUGUGUAUCCAUGGUGAUAACGCUAUACACCACCUGCUGGGCAUAUGAUGAGCAGCAUAGGGCUGCAAAAAUGACCAACACGCAACAUAAUUAUGACCUUGUUCGGUUAUUCCUUGGCAAAUACAUAAUUUCCCAACUACAUUCUUCUCAUGUACAAUGAUAUUUUCAGAAACCAUCAGGUCGUUCUGCCUGGUGUAGGCUGACAACCAUGGAGCGCCGCCAUGCAAGGAAACGAAGGCGUCUUUUCUUCAGGGCAGCUAUGUACUUCCUGAUGGAUUUUCAACCACAAGUAAGAAUUAUUUAAGCUUACAGAUACAUUAUCAACUGGAAACUCCCCCGUUUGUAUAUUCUGAACCAUGUGCUCUCUACCAAUAAUAAUUCUUAUUAAUCAGAGGUCUGUGCUUAAUAUGAGUGACCACUUUGAUGAUGCAUUUAGAGAUGAGAAGAUGCUCAAACUUGUUGUAAUAAAUACAUCUUUAAUAGACACUUAAAUAAAUAAAGUCAAUUCAUACAAAUAGUUAAAAACAUUACAUACAAUCUUAAUUUAAAAUAAAAAUAAAUCUGGUAAAAAGAUGAAAAAAAUAUUAUUGCAAUCACAUGCCACCGAUGUUUUUCAGCUUCGGGAAAGAGGGCCAUAUUGCCAAAUUAACCAUCAUGUCCCUCUGGUACGCCUGUACUUUGAGGGGGGUGACCUGCGUAAGGACUUCAGGCUGACCAGGCCCUUCCUGGAGCACCUCAUCCACCUUCUCCAAGGGGACCAUUAUCAUGGAUGGGGGAAGGCACUUGAGGUGCUUGUUUUUCUUUACUGGCUGGCCUGUGG